CUUAUCCAACAAGCUGUCACCUUCAGUGUACUAAUCUUAAUGCAACAGCUGUUUUAUUUGCUCUACUGUGUAAUGAAUACCUUUUUUUUUUUUUUUUUCUGUGCUCCCUCUACGGUGUUACGAUGUUAGAAACUGUGAGGAUAGCAGUCUUGCUAUGUACACAAAAGCAUGUGUUAAUUGUUUCUAGGUGUGUUCUCUUAAAAAAAAAAAAAAAAAAAUAGAAUAAGGCUAUGUAAGUGUUUUGUUUCCAUCUGUUAUCUGUCAUUGGUUUUCAUGUUUUGUAUGACCAUGGUGUCUUUUGAUACAGGGAUAUUCCUGCACUGAGCUUUGAGUCUGCUUGUUAUGAGCGGUAAUUGCCUCUACUUUAUUUGGUGUUAUAUAUAUAUAUAUAUAUAUAAUGAUGAUCUUAUAGGACCAAAACAGAAAUAAAACAGCCUAAAUGAGUAGCUAAUGCAGUAUGUAUGCCUUUUCCAUAAAAUGUCUUCCCUACAUACAAAUGCCAAUGUUCAGGCCCCAUAAAGUGUCAACAAUGAACUGAAAUGCGUUCUUUUUAAAGCUAAUUCACCAAACCUAAACUAAGAAUACUUUGGUGUUCAGCAACUUUUAGGCUGGAAUCCAAACUUGAGAUCUGUGCGCCAAAACUUGACACGUACAGAUCGAAAGUUAGAAUUCGGCCCUCACGUGCUAGAUUUAGUUCAAACCAAAGGAGCAGAAGAAGACAACAUUUUGUGUGCUGUUUCACUGACGCUGAUGUUUGUGCUGUUUUUCCCCACAAUGAUGUUUCCUGUGGUGGCUGAGAGCGAGACAAGAGUCCAGCACUUCCUUCUCCAGGCCGGGCUCCCCUUUCAGAGAGACAAGACCUCCACAAGGCCACUUAUCAAGGUCAUUUCUGAUGGCAUGUGUAGAUACUAAAAGCCGUAAAGCUAUAGAAAUAAAUAGUCGCAAACUCGUAUAACUCCCAGCGACUCUAUUUAGUUGUAUAGCUUCCAGUUAAUUUGCCGAUAGUCAGCACCUCUACACUAAUGUUCCCUGGGGAUGCUCCAACUUGUUAUUAGAUACUAGAAGCCAAACAACACUGGGGGUGAUGUAAAAUACAAUAUGGCGAAUUCAUUUUGCUUACUGUUUUCCGGGAAGGCAUUUGUCAUAGACGCUCACCCACACUCGACCAUUAAAAAGUUGUGGUUCCAAAUGUUUCCUCUGUUAAGGAUUUAUCGUUCUAUUCGUCUACACAUGACAGACACUUUUUGGUUAACAAAGUGUCAUUACAAGCUGCACAUGUACCUGAGUGUGUUUUGGUUACGCAUAUGGCUCUAAACUGGUUCCAGAUUGCCACAAGGCGUCAGGUAGCUUGACUUGUAACUGUCAAAGUUGAACCACCAGGCGUCCGGUAGCUUGACUUGUAACUGUCAAAGUUGAACCACCAGGCGUCCGGUAGCUUGACUUGUAACUGUCAAAGUUGAACCACCAGGCGUCAGGUAGCUUGACUUGUAACUGUCAAAGUUGAACCAAGAUACUUGUUCAUUUGUUCUCUAUAUGUUCUAGGUGCCGCCCUUUUAGAGAAGAGUCUCGCAAGGAACCUCCUCUGGACAAAGGUUUCUGUUCUGGAGAGAGUUACUGUAUUUGUAAAGGUGGACUCAUCAAUAUGACAACAUCAUACAAAGCGGGGGAAAUUCCUGCAUACAGAAAUCAACAACAGCAUUCAAAUCUUCUGAGACUGACGCUUGUGGCUUUUCCCCAUGUGGGCAAAGCUCACGGGAGGGCGCAAAUGUCGCAGUCUUGGCAGAUUUUUAUUCUAUCGUUGAUGUCUAAGCAGGAAGACGGGGGGCAUUGUAUGAUGGUGCCAUUUUGCUAAGUCAAUUAUUAGUAGACAUGUCAUGACCUGACAUUUUUCAAAUAUGUUAUCAGUAACUACUUCAGUUAUUAUAAUGAGUCGGUGUUAGACACGUUGUUACCGUAAUGAGUCGGUGUUAGACACGUUGUUACCGUAAUGAGUCGGUGUUAGACACGUUAUCAUAAUGAGUCACUAUUACACGUUGUUAUCGUAAUGAGUCACUAUUACACGUCGUUACCGUAAUGAGUCGGUGUUAGACACGUUAUCGCAAUGAGUCACUAUUACACGUUAUCAUCGCAAUGAGUCACUAUUACAUGUUGUUAUCGUAAUGAGUCAGUAUUACACGUUAUCAUAAUGAGUCACUAUUACACGUUAUCGUAAUGAGUCACUAUUACACGUUGUUACCGUAAUGAGUCGGUGUUAGACACGUUAUCAUAAUGAGUCACUAUUACACGUUGUUAUCGUAAUGAGUCACUAUUACACGUUGUUACCGUAAUGAGUCGGUGUUAGACACGUUAUCGCAAUGAGUCACUAUUACACGAUAUCAUCGUAAUGAGUCACUAUUACACGUUAUCAUCGUAAUGAGUCAGUAUUACACGUUGUUAUCGUAAUGAGUCAGUAAUACACGUUGUUAUCGUAAUGAGUCAGUAUUACACGUUGUUAUCGUAAUGAGUCAGUAUUACACGUUGUUAUCGUAAUGAGUCAGUAUUACACGUUGUUAUCGUAAUGAGUCAGUAUUACACGUUGUUAUCGUAAUGAGUCAGUAUUACACGUUGUUAUCGUAAUGAGUCAGUAUUACACGUUAUCGUAAUGAGUCAGUAUUACACGUUGUUAUCGUAAUGAGUCAGUAUUACACGUUGUUAUCGCAAUGAGUCAGUAUUACACGUUGUUAUCGUAAUGAGUCAGUUUUACACGUUGUUAUCGUAAUGAGUCAGUAUUACACGUUGUUAUCGUAAUGAGUCAGCAUUAGACACAUUGGGUGACAUUCUGGACCCAUUAGACUGAGAUUUGUUCAUGAACUCGGAUGUUUUGCUUAUGGAUUCUGAGAAAGUAUAUGGAAAUCAUGAUAAAUUGUAUUUAGUUCGAUUGAACUUUGGUUAUAAUGUGGCUAAAUCUAUGCCAAAGUGAUCAACAAUGAAGGUAAUACUUUUUCUUGUUAUUGAUAAAUAUGGCCAGAUUCAUGUUAUCACUGGUAACAUUGCAAUUUUGUGAUUUGUUUUUCAGGGUAAGUCAGAACUUCUCUUCCCUGCCUUGGUUCCUUCAGUCUCCUCUUUCUGCUUUGGUGCCCAUGUAAGACUGGAGACCAGGGAAGAUGUUCAACGAAUGAGCCCCUGUGGAUAUUUCUCAAAUAGAAAAUGUAAUGUUAUGUAACACAUUUGUCUACAUCCUUCACUUUAUUCAAUGUAAUCUUGUACACUACUGUUUCCUUAUGAUAUAACAUCAAUGUGCAUGCUUUGUCCUUAAUUGAGAACAUAACGUGUUCAUUUUUCAUUUGGCGUAUUAAUAUAAUAAACAUAGGCACAGACUAUCUGAAGAUUUUGAGUUUCUUUGGUAACCGUUUACUUGGACGCUGCCAUAGCCUACAUUAAUCGCGUUGCCAUAAUGACAAGAUGUCACAAAAACAAUCAUGACUUAGCCUGUCUGCUUAAUGACAACUGACUUAAAACAAACAUGACUCAACCAUGGUUUGAAUUUAAGGGGUGCUAGAAUAUGAACUUAAACAGUCAGUGAGGACACCCCAAAGAGUUUGUAUAAUUUGAACCCUGAACAGAGUGUUAUUUAGGCAUGCUAACUCCCACGAGUCAACUAGCUUCCAGUACCUACGUAGAUAACAUUGCCUGAACUUUGACAUGUUAUAUCGUCAUGACACCAAAGGGUUCAGGUAAGGUCAAACGAGAUAUGUUGUACAUUCAUUGACUGGUACACUAGUUCACUUUUAGCUGUCAUGUUCUACUUUGAGAACAUUGUGCAGCGAUCAGGAACACCCUGUCAAAGGAAAAGGCUUUCCGAAUGCACAGUCUGUGUAAUCCCCAAUUUGUUAAGCUUUUCUCAAGUCCCUUGCUUUAGUUCUCUUUGCAGAGCUUGGUGGUGACACUCUGUGGGAGGUCAAUGUACCUUUCUUGCUAGCUUUGGCUUUUCUGAUUUUGGUGCAACCUGUAGGUUUUGGUGUUGAUCCCUCACCCCAAGACUGGACCUGGACAAGGGUCUCUGUCCUGUUUAGUUUGGCUGAGCUGGAACAGGGCCUCUUAAAGACUGUAUGUGGCCUUGCACCCACCCUGAUGCAAUUCUGUUUGUAAGGAGCACAAGUCGGCCUAGUGCGUGAGUCUCGAGACCGGCUCAGUUCCGUAACACUGGACACAACUGAAUCUGCUUUCCUCAAGCGAGAAGUGCUCCUGGUCAAGCUGAUGGCCGUAGCCGGCCGACACCGUCCCGUUUUGGUCAGCUCUCGCUGUACUGUGGCCGCCUGCAGAUCCUCCAUCUCAGAUAGUCUGCUUACGAUGGCAACCAAUGAAGGCUCUCGCAUGUGCAGGCUCUGGCGACUUUCCCAAUCGGCCGUGCUAGGCAGACUCCGGGUCAGAUCCAGCACUUUCAGAGAUGCUGGGAGCACCUCCGCAAAUGGUGACUGGGCCUCCGAAGACUCCGAGAAGUGCAAGUCGGAGUCCAGGUCUAAGUCGAAAGGUUCAGGCCUCAACCGGAGCUCUACUUCGGGCGUGACCCACUCGUGGGCCUGGGCGCCCCCUUUCUCUUGGUCGGAUAGAUCGCUGGCGUCAGAGUGGAUGUCUGCCGGUGUGCUGCUACCGUUUUGCUUUGACCCAUCGGUGAUGGUUCCUGACCCAAGCCCUGCUCUGUCAUUCAUUGGGCCCCAACAGUAGAAUGUCUUUACCCUCCUCUCCCCAUUGUACCUUCUCCUGUCCCUCGAAUUGAUAGUGUAAGCCGCCUGGACAGGUGUGAUUUUCAACAGAGACUCACUGGAGCUUGUGUCCCGGCCCUCCCCUUGGUUAUGUUUGGUGAAACUCGGGUGCCGUAGCCUGCUGUUGAGAUGAUGGAUGUUGAUUGUUGGACGUCUGUGGAUCAUCCUGAACUGGGCUCUCUGUGAUUGGCUCUGGCUAAAGAUAAGAGGGAAUAAAAAUAAGUAGUAUGGCGAUCUUAAUAAAUAAUGUCAUAAAACACGUAUUUUAAUUUCAAACUCCAUAAACCUGAAAGGUGUUUUCAUUUACACCUUUGGUAAUACUGACAACCACGUGGUGUUUUUAAAGUAGUUUAUCGAAGCAAAACGGAUACCUAAAAUCUGUCCUAGUGGAUUGACUAUAGCCAAG
ensembl:lncRNA